UCAGAGGUAAUUCUCAAGUAGCCUUGUGAGGCUGGCAUUGUUAACCCUGCUUUGCCCUGUUUUCUAAACAAGAAAACUGAUAUCCAGAGAACUGAAACAGCUUUUUUGGCCUCAGAACUGCUUAUUGGGACCACCAAUAAAUUCCCACACCAGCGGGGCUAGAAUGCAGUUGGCCCCAUUCCACAGACUUUCCAGAAAGAAGGAGGAGGAGAAACAGCAGCAAAUGGCAGCAGUCUGCCACUUUCCGCACCAGGCCCGCCUUGUCCAAGCCACUGUCUGGACUAUUUCAAAAGCGUCUUAACUGAUGUCUCUACUUCCUUUUUGUUCCCUUGCAGUCAGUUCUCAGCACAGCAGCUGCAGUGAUCUUACUGAAAGCUUAGAAGAACUUCUCUAAUGUGAAAAUAAGAAGAACUGUAUCGAUACGCCAGAGCUCAGAUGGCCAGGAUGCCCAGUUCAUCCAGUAACUCUAGGUUAUACAUGUGGGGAACGCAGAUUGUGGGGGGUGGCUUGGCCUUUAAAGGGCUAAGUGUUGAGUGCCCUUUGGGUCAGUGCACAAUGACAUGCGGUUAUGGGGCACAGCCUAGCUCAUGGAGGAGAGAUGGUGAAGGUCAUUUCAAGACUGGUGUGGAGGGAGGAAGAGGAUGUUCCAGGCCCGUCCAGGGGCUUGAUGUCCCUCAGCAACGAGGCCAUGCACCAGGGUAUGUGUGUGUGAAGUGGGUGUGUGUGUGGACAGGGAUGGGUGGAUAGACAAGAGUGCAGUGUGUCCCAUGUCCACUGAUGCAUCUGUUUGCCGGGGUGGAUGUGUGUGAAGGCGGGCUGCAGGGAGGGGUAUGUGUGUGCAGUCUCGUAUCUGGGGAGCACUAUGGUGGGGUGUCCUGAGUGUGUGUACCUGAGGAUGGGUGACAUGCUCAGGUGUGAGUGUGGCCCCGUGUACGGGUGAGUGCGGGGUCACAGUGCGCUUUGUGUAUGGGCAAUGGCCGUGCAUGCCCAAGUGUGUGUGAGAUUCUCUGCAUGGUGGGUGUGUGAGGAAAUCACCCUCUGUCUUCAGCAGCCCUGUUGGCCCUAGUGCAGGAUGGGGCGGGGCAGGCUGCCUGGCCACCUGACUGACAGGACUGUAAUGAUAGCUUUUAUGGGGCCUGCUGAGUCCCGGGACCUGCUGACAGAGGACGAGGAAUGAGGAAGUCCCACAGGCUUCUCCGGGUUUUCAUUUCAUUUCAAGAGGCACAGAGUGACCUUUGUCUCCACUACUUGGGCUGGUGUCUCCCCCAGAGAAGGGGAAAGGUCAGGUUUCACUUUCUCCAGUUGUUUUCACUUUCAGAUCCCCUUGAUUAAACACCAGGAAAGGUGGGGAAGCAAUGACAUGACGUGUGGCGGCUCAGGCGCCUUCAUGAGAGGCCCUGGCCAAGACGGCCAUCCUGCACAGAGACUGGGGCUCAGCAGCCACGAUCCACCAGCCCAGCCCACCUGAAGAGAGGUGCUGUGACCCCCCAGAGCACACCCACUGUAGCUGUCUGGGCCUCCUCAUUUGUACUGCUAAGAAAACAGCUCCUGAGAGGAGGCGUGGUUGCCCACAGAGACGCAGGCACUGGUGCCAGAGCUGGGACCAGAGAACCUGCUGUCAGGUCUAGGAUUGGUGGAGCACCGCUGGCUGACAGGCCAACAGCAAGGAAAGGUCCACUCAUAAACACGCUUUCAGAAAGGAAGAAAGGCAAGCCUGAUCGAAGACACCCACCUCGACAUUGCACUUGGGUGAGGAUGACGCAGUGAACAUCUUUGUGAGUGAUUCCCACGUAAGAGCAGAGCUGGUAUUUGCUAUGACACUGUCCAGGUUAACAACACCAUUGUAUGCAUUUGUAAAAUAAAUAAUAAGAUUUCUUUAUUCUUAGACAUCUACAACACUUGCAAGCCCUAUUAAUAAUACUUGUGGAUUGGAGAUAUGCCAGCAAAAUCAAUAUUUAUUGCAAAAUAUUUGAUAUUUGAAAACAGAUCAGUCUUGUUCAUUUAUCCUGUAUAGUGUCACAUUUUAGACUAAUUUGUUUACUCAUAUGCUUGUGAAAUGCUUUGGGACGAACACUGCUCCUAAACACAAUGUCUGGAGCAUGCUCUGCUUCGCCUCCCUGCACAGUGUUUUGGGGAUGUGUUGACACCUCUGUUGGCCUUGGGAGGGAGUCAUGGAUUGGGCUCCUGCCCAGCCCCCAGAUUUAGGCGGGUCAGCAGCCACGUUACCCUCUACAUCAGCCUUGGCUAAAAUAACUGGCAGGUUGAGGCAAAAACCUGCUAGAACCUCAUAUUUCUUCUCAUCGUGGUUUCCCUACAGAUGCCAGGUCACGAGCUGGACCUAGUGUUGAAAGAAUUAGCAAGACAAGAGGGGAGUUGACCGGCUUUUGGUGUGUGCAGGCUAAGGGCCAAGCUGGGGGGCAGCAGGCAGACCCCAGCCUUGGUAGACUUGAGGAGCAGGCUUCCUGCUCACUCUGCUUUUAGGAGCUUCUAAAAGUCAUUUUGGCCUCUGAACCCAGAGAAGGAAACCUGGGGCUGUGACUUUGGAUCACGUGACCCAGAUGGGCCAUGCUGUCCACCCCCAAUCCAGCAUGAGCUGUGCCCUGCCUGGCUGGACUGGGAGACAACAGUCAGCCACUGGAGCAAGGGAUUCUCCCCCGACCAGGAGCCUGGGCAACACUGCCCAAGAAAGGAGCAUAUUCCAUGGGGGUACUUGAAAUGAUUUUCGGUACAUAAACUUUAGCAUUUUUGUAAAUGGCUAUGAAUUAUUUCAAUCUAAACAUCAAAGUCAAUAAUCAUUUUAUUAUACCCUGGUGUGCCCUAGGCUGACUUCUUUAACUUAUGCCACAUCAUCACGUUAUUUAGCCAUUUUAAGUAAGGUGGCUUUAUUUUUUUUUUCAGUAUAUGAAAUUUAUUGUCAAAUUGGUUUCCAUACAACACCCAGUGCUCAUCCCAAAAGGUGCCCUCCUCAAUACCCAUCACCCACCCUCCCCUCCCUCCCACCCCCCAUCAACCCUCAGUUUGUUCAGUAAGGUGGCUUUGUCUGUCCAGCAAGACUGACUUCCCUAAGGGAGGACCUAUGCCUGAAUUUGUUUGGGCUGAGAGUUCCAUCAACAAAGUGAGCCAGGCACAAAAAGAAGCCCAGCUGUGAGCAGAUCUUCCCAACUCUCGGCUCUGGGCAAGACAGGUUUGUUUACAUUUGGUGACCAAAUCAACUCUUUAAAAAAAUCUUUCAUCUGCCUUUUAUUGACCCUUGGCCCCAUCCCUGGCCCUUCUUUGUUCUUUAGUCCUCUUUCAAGGUCCCAAAUCUGAGGCCUGGGAAUUGGGAGCAUCAGUUGAUGAGGAAUCGACAAGGGGAGGGAUGCCCUCACAGCAAUCAGAGGACACCCUGCCCUUGUGGAUUCCUGGAUCUUUCACCUCCAGAGAAUGGGAGGCAGCCAUGGAUGCUGCUUCCAGUAGGGGGGCCAUCAGAAGGUAGUUGAGGGUUUCUUCUGGGGUGGGACCCAUGGAGGGGAGAGCCAAGCUGGCCAGGUGGACAGGGAGCCUGUGGCCAGGGGACUUUGAUUUGUGAGCUGCUGAGUGACCAAUCCAUUGUUCCCGAGCAGCCAGCUGCAGGAUGGAAGAGGAUUUGUUUUAUGCCCCAUCUGAGAACUUGAAGAAGGAAAGGAUUAAAAGAAACAGGAAAAACUCAGUUAUAGAGGAGAGUAGCCAGGACUGUGUCAAAUCUUCAAGAAUGGACAGAUUAUCCUGGAAUAAAUGUGUUCAUUCAUUCAACAAAUAUUUAUUGAGCAUCUUUUGAGCGCCAGGCAGUGAUCCAGGCACUGCUCCACCGGCUUUAUUAAAAUAUGGCUGUUUUAAAUCAGAUCUGGGUCUCGGUAAGGAAGUGAGUACCGUUUUAUUAUAGCAUUUGCCAAAAAAAAUAUCAAAUACUUUGAGGCUUCAUCCAGAGAAACUCAACCCCUGCCUCAGCAGCUUCGUAUGUUCUUGAGCACAUACACCUCAGCCCUCUGAGAAUGAGCCCCCUUCUUCCUGUGCAGAUAUGAUCAGCCCUUGCUGGCUGAGGGAAACAGGGGAGACAUUUGGCUGGGGGCUCAAGGUAAAAGCUGUUUAUGUAGUCCCUCCUGCAGACAGAGGGCAGAGAGGAAGGAGCCGGGGAGACUCUGAGGCUUUGCCCCUGGGGAUCAAUGCUGGCCUGGGUUGAGGCUAUGCUCAUGCUCUGACCUUAGCAAAUGUGUUCAUUCCAUUUCCUUUCCAGGGCUGGCAUCUGCCCUGUGUGUAAAGUCCUUCUGUGGGUACUGGUCAGGGAGUUCAGAGUGCCAGAGGAAACAGAGAGUAUUCUAAAUGUAAUUGAUAACAUUUGUCUACCUUUGCAGAGACAUGGCUUUGUGUCCUUUUAAAACUCCCAUGGUUGGGGCACAGAGAAAACACAACGGUUAGAAAGGAAUAUCUGAAUCUAACCUGAAAACAGGCAGAGCACCCUCUGAUGGCCAUCACUACCACCUACCUAUGGCUGGCACACCAUUAACAGCCAUUGAUUCCUCUUUCUGCUCUCCAGACAGAGUAAAAUGACACAGAGGAAGUUAGGAAAUGAGCCAAGAGUGAGUCCAGGCACAGAACCAAGCUGAUGUCAAGGGACGCACGACUGUCAGCUGAGCCAAAGUGCAGGGCCAGACCAUCCCUCCAGUUUGGGUGGGAGUGGCCCGCAUUUGUAUGAGCCUGCUGUAUUGAUGAGAGAUUCAGGAUGAGGUUGCCGCACUUACAGCAGAAUUACCUGGGAACUUGUUAGAAAUGCCAGUUCUCAGGCCCCACCCCAGAUCCACUGCAUCAGAAGCUCCAGGGGUAGGGCCCAGUGAUCUGUGUCUCUGACACACCCUCAAAUAUGAGAAUCUCACUGCUUUACAUGGAACACCUCCAUUCAUCUUCUUUACAUCUGCACAGGCCAGGUAAGUAUUGUCGUACCUAACCUACAGGUGAGAACGCCAGAUCCCACUGCUCAUUGAGUGGCCCAAGGGUCUGGACUCCCCAGUGUCCUGCUGCUGUCACUGGUUUCUCUCUUCGACUUCCACAACAGGCCCUCAGUGGUGGGGAAGACAGAGCAUCAGAGGUGAGUGGAACCCAAAAUGUGCUAUCAUAGAGACCAUAUGGGCCAUGCUUUCAUAUGGCCUGUGACACUCUCUCAGGGACAGGUGGAAGAAGUGUUUUGCAAGGUAACCUGAGGUUACAUAAGGGACAGAUGGCCUGCUUGCAUAGCAAGAGCAGUUAGGCUAGCUAAGGGAAUGAAUCUCACAUUAGUAGCAAAGGAUGAACUUUGGCACAUGAGCUACAUUGAAUGUUUUAGGUCUCCAGACAUACCAAAGUGGGGAGAAGCAAGUUGCAGCUGGAGUGGAGGACAUUCUUAUAGUUUUCCACCCUCUACCAUCACUGUGAGUCUAAAUGACUCCCCCCCUCCACCAUAGGGAAGCUUUUUGUACAAAAUGGCCAAGACUCACAUCUCACAGCAGAGUCUGUGGAAGUUUACAAGGGCAUGAAAACAUGGAAGUUGCUAACUUCUGAAGGAAAAUGGAAAAUUUAGGGAGAUAGAAAUAGUUUUAAAAGACAGAAUGAGGGAGGGGAGUGAUUGAGAGUGGCAUGAGGUACAGAGCAGGGAGCCCAUGUGGUCACAUAAUGUGCAUGGUGGGGACAUCUUCACUGUCUGGGUGCCGAGACUCCAUACCCUUGGCACUUUAGCCUGGUUCCAGAAAGUGAUUUAUCUCAGUCUGGGAUGCACAAUACCAUGACCCUUAGCCUUCCUAUUUGCUGCUAUUAUAACUGUUUGGCCAUCAGGAGUGAGAGAGAAGUCUAGCAAGACUCAGAGAUUUCUGCCUUGGAGUUGGUGGGAAACAGGUGAGCAGGAUGAUAAGGAGGUUUGGGGGAAAGAUGGAUGCACUCACCUGAGUUCCACACAUCUGUGGGCUAUCCAGACGAGCAGGCAGGGACCACCGGUGAUUUGGAAGUUGGAGAGGAUCCAGGUUACAGAACGCUGGUGUGAGUGACUAACAGCAGCAGGUGGCAGCUGAGGUCACGGGGAUCACAGUGGGGAGAGGAUCAGAGCACUGGAGUGCUGGCAUCUGGGAGGUGUGCGCACCAUGAGGGUGCUGUGGAGGAGCCUGAGAAAUAGGGUCAGGGUGGGAAAGGCAGCAGGGGCAGAGUGUGUAGGCUACGCAGGGAAAGAGUGGUCGAGGCUGCCGAGAGCCCACCAAGAGCAGAGCCUAGCCCCUGUUGAACUUGUCAAGGGUGACUCCACUGUGAUGGUGAAAUCUCCAAGCCAGCUAAUAUGGGUUUCAGCCGUGAAUGGUAAGUGAGAGAAAUAGAGACCAUGUCAGGAAGCCUGACUAUAAAGGAGAACAAAAAACAGGACAGUGGCAAGGGGAAGCCAAGGAGUUGUUCUGUUAUUAAUGUGGAGAAACAGGAGAGCAUAAAUAAAUUUCCUGAAGAGACAGAAGAGAGCGAGAGUGCAGGGGAAGAUGCAGGAAGAGGGAGGAAAAUUGAAGGAACAAUUUAUCUGCCUGAGAAAGCUGAAGGGAAUGGACCCAGAGCACAGCCCAAGGGGUUGGUCACUCUCAGUCAAGAAGAGGGACAGCCCUUCCAUGGAAUUGUCCAGGCUGUGGGCUGGAAGGAAGUGGAAAUAGGUGGGGACACACAGAUGGGAGAUUGAAGCCAUUAAAGCACUGUGAGUCUCUGUGAAGUCAAGGCCAGCUAUGGUUGAGAUGUGGCCAGAGUAGAAGUGGAUGUUCCAGAGGUGGAUCAACUCCUGGUGGAGGCAACCCCCAGGUGUGGACAGACACGGGUGACUGAUGUGGCUGAGAGGGAGAGGCCACCCUCUCCUGGAGAAGGUCAGGCACGGAGGAUGUGGGGACAGGAGGGUGGUCAUGUGGUAUGAGUGGAAACCAGAGGAAAAGCUCUUGAGGAUUGAAGAGAGGGAGCUGCAGGGGAAUGGAUGACAGAAACAAGAAGGGGGCUGAUGGGGGCUGGGUUGGAUAUGUGAACCUCAUGGUAGGCAGGGCCCAAGAAACACAGGUGGCCUCAGGGACCCAGGAGAAAGCCUCUGGCCACUCAUGUGGCUCUGGGUGUUGGAGAAUGGGCAGCUCCACUCAGGAGAGCACAAGUAGGCUCUUGUGGGAAGCCAGUUCCAGCCAAAGGCAGGAAAAGGGAGCAGAAUGGGGCAGAGGCUGAGGAGGUGGGGGAUGGAGACCAUGGAUCCAGGGCUCAAGGUGGGGUGGGAGGAGCUAGAAGGGCAGGGCAGUGGGAGCAGUUAGGUCUGGGAGGAAGCAUAGGGGCGACUGGGGAUGGAGGAGGCAAAGGAUCAAGAUCUGAAGGUCUUGAGGGUUUGACCAUGCCCCAUGCCAGGGCAGGGGCUUUCCUGCUGGCCUGGGUAGGCCCAGAGGCUUGGCAUAGCUGACUGAUGUUCUUCAGGCUCUGAGGCUGAGGGAUGAGGCAGGGGCAGAGGGGCAGUGAUCACAUUCCCUGAGUUAUGCUGGGCACAUUCCCGAAUCCAGCCGCAGUUGGUGAUGUUCUCUUAUUGGCUUUGAUGCCCUCCUUCCUCUCUCUCUGCCUGGAUAGAACCUACCAACACUAAUGCAGCUCCUACUUUCUCUACAAGCCUUUCCCAAUCAUCCUUGGCCUCUGAGCUCAUACCACAUUCAUUUAAAUCAAAUAACUCAUUUUAAUCCUCAAAUAACCUUGAAUGGUUAUUUUAUAGUUGCACGGCUAUAGACUUAGAAAUACAAUUGGUGGAUCUUUGCUGAUUGCACCCUAACUAAAGAUUUAUCACAUACGUUU